rnacentral:rRNA from 1 species
UACGUAGGGUGCAAGCGUUAAUCGGAAUUAUUGGGCGUAAAGCGCGCGCAGGCGGUUCUUUAAGUCUGAUGUGAAAGCCCCCGGCUCAACCGGGGAGGGUCAUUGGAAGCUGGGGAACUUGAGUGCAGAAGAGAAGAGCGGAAUUCCACGUGUAGCGGUGAAAUGCGUAGAGAUGUGGAGGAACACCAGUGGCGAAGGCGGCUCUUUGGUCUGUAACUGACGCUGAGGCGCGAAAGCGUGGGGAGCAAACAGG